rnacentral:rRNA from 1 species
UCGCCUGUUUUUUCCAAAAACAUCGCCUCUUGAUUAAACAUAAGAGGUCCAGCCUGCCCAGUGACAUAGUUUAACGGCCGCGGUACCCUAACCGUGCGAAGGUAGCAUAAUCACUUGUUCUUUAAAUAGGGACUCGUAUCAACGGCAUCACGAGGGCUAUACUGUCUCCUUUCUCCAAUCAAUGAAACUGAUCUCCCCGUGAAGAAGCGGGGAUUAACCUAUAAGACGAGAAGACCCCAUGGAGCUUCAAACUCAACAUAUACCUCUACGCACUUAAACCACUUUAGCCCAAGAGACCUCUAUGUUAGUUUUGGGUUGGGGGGACCGCGGAGUAAAAAUUAACCUCCACGACAAACGGGCUUUAUGCCCUUAUCCACGAACCACAGCUCUAAGAAUCAAUAAACUGAUGUUUAUGACCCGAUUAUUCGAUCAACGAACCAAGUUACCCUGGGGAUAACAGCGCAAUCUACUUCAAGAGCCCCUAUCGACAAGUAGGUUUACGACCUCGAUGUUGGAUCAGGGUAUCCUAGUGGUGCAGCCGCUACUAAUGGUUCGUUUGUUCAACGAUUAAAACCCUACGUGAUCUGAGUCCAAAACCGGA